CCUACGGGUGGCUGCAGUGGGGAAUUUUGGACAAUGGGGGCAACCCUGAUCCAGCCAUCCCGCGUGUGCGAUGAAGGCCUUCGGGUUGUAAAGCACUUUUGGCAGGGAAGAAACAGUCCGGGAUAAUACCCUGGGCGAAUGACGGUACCUGCAGAAUAAGCACCGGCUAACUACGUGCCAGCAGCCGCGGUAAUACGUAGGGUGCAAGCGUUAAUCGGAAUUACUGGACGUAAUGCGUAAAGAGGCGGUUGAAAUCCCAGGGCUUAACCUUGGAACUGCACUUUUAACUACCGAGCUAGAGUACGUCAGAGGGGGGUAGAAUUCCACGUGUAGCAGUGAAAUGCGUAGAGAUGUGGAGGAAUACCGAUGGCGAAGGCAGCCCCCUGGGAUGAUACUGACGCUCAUGCACGAAAGCGUGGGGAGCAAACAGGAUUAGAUACCCCAGUAGUC
rnacentral:rRNA from 1 species